rnacentral:rRNA from 1 species
CCGCGAUUCGCCCUUCGGGGUGCAGCAGGCGCGAAAACUUCGCAAUGGGGGAAACCCCGACGAGGGAAUUCCAAGUGCUAGCACUUUGUGUUAGCUGUUCUUCUGUCUAAAAAACAGGAGAAGUAAGGGGCGGGUAAGACGGGUGCCAGCCGCCGCGGUAAUACCCGCGCCCCGAGUGGUGGUCGAUAUUAUUGAGCCUAAAACGUCCGUAGCCGGUCUUCUAAAUCCUUGGGUAAAUCGGGCAGCUUAACUGUCCGAAUUCCGGGGAGACUGGGAGACUUGGGACCGGGAGAGGUCAGAGGUACUUCUGGGGUAGGGGUAAAAUCCUGUAAUCCUGGAAGGACCACCGGUGGCGAAGGCGUCUGACUAGAACGGAUCCGACGGUGAGGGACGAAGCCCUGGGGCGCAAACGGGAUUAGAUACCCCGGUAGUCCAGGGUGUAAACGCUGCGGGCUUGGUGUUGGGGGUCCUUAGUGGGCGCCCAGUGCCGGAGAGAAGUUGUUAAGCCUGCUGCUUGGGGAGUAUGUCCGCAAGGAUGAAACUUAAAGGAAUUGGCGGGGGAGCAC